AAGCAUUCAUAAAAAAAAUUGAUUUUUUCAUUGAAAAGUAUAAAUCUUUGUUAAAAGUAUAUAAUUAUUUUUAUUAAAAAUAUUAACCACAUAAUAAAAUUAAUUUAUCAGAGUUAUACCAACUUAAUUCAUUAAAAAUAAAGUUUAAUUUUUUAAACAUAAAUAGUUAUUUAAAAUAAAACACGAUAAAGAAAGAUAAAAGUUUAAGUCUUUUAUAAAAUAAAACAUAAAUAUAUGAAAUAUGAUAUUUACUAAAUAUUUGUCAAUUGAAAAAAAAAAGGAAAAUAAAUCCUCGGGUCAAAAUUUAGUUUCCCGUUAAAACUCACGUCUGCAUCACAACUCUUUUUCCCAUCAUCACUGGCAUGUCGUCAACUGCCUUAAGGUACGGAUGCUGUGUAGCUCGUCUUGCUGGUACGAAACGCUUCGAUUAAAGAACUUGUUUUGUUGUUCUUGUUGUUGAUUAUCGGCUCGUUCUCGACAGCUGAUGUAGAUGUCCGCCAUGGAAGAGAGAAUCAGAGUUUUAAAGAGAGAGAUAAACUGCUUAGGAAAGUGUUUACAAAAAAAAAAAAAAACUGCUUAGGAAAAUCCAAAGGUCAUUC
rnacentral:lncRNA from 1 species